AAAAAAAAAAAAAAAAAAAAAAAAAAAAAAAAAAAAAAAGGUAAAAGACAAAUUUCUACACGUAACAUUUAUUCGUUUUCGUUGCUAUGCAUAUACCUAUAUGU
rnacentral:ribozyme from 16 species